ensembl:lncRNA
UCGGGUCAUGUGGUUGAAGUUUAGGGAACGUAGAUCUUCUUUUCUGGCGUGCUGUAGAAGUGAUGUUUACUGCGGUCAUCCUGAAAGUGUGGUCUGACAGGAAUAUAGGAGCACAUGUUCCUGUCCAGCCUGGGGGCAGUAUGAAAUAUGCCCGUUGUCCACAUAGCUAGGCCAUUCCUUGCACCCAGUACGUGCCGUUAGAAGGUCCACUCAUAUUCACAGGGGCGCCCUCUCCGUGGACUGCAGUUUGGACGCAGUUUGUCGUGUUUCCAACGGGUGUGUUACCUUUCUCUUGUUGAUAACACAUGGAGUGGUUCUUCCCUGGGAGUUGGUCCAGAAACACUGGGAAGUGGAUGGAUGUAUUCCGGUUUGUCACGUUGAAAUCGAUCCAGAAGAGUUGAUCACAUGUUCCAUUACUAAGUCCAACAGCAUGUGGGAUUGUGUCGCUGGUGAUGAUUCAGCUGUGUUGGAAUCCAAUGCCAGCGAAGCUGGCUGCACACUUUGCUUGAGUGUUGUUCAUAUAUUCACCAUAUAGUGUGGGGUGUGUUGAUGUGCUGGGCAUAUGAGAACAGACAUAACAGUCUGUAUUUGCCGAUUCCGCCUUGGUCCUGUUGUGGAUAUAACGGUACCAGGCAUUGUUCAUCCAAGGGUGGAUGUGGUCUUGCAUCAUAUCUCUUAGGUGCGAGUUGUCGUGCGUCCAUCUUUUCUGUCUGCCUCGGUUCAGCUGUUGUUGGUGUCAGCUGGGGUCCUGUAAGGGUGAGCGUCGUAGUCAAGGUAACCAAGAGGGUCCACCUUCCCAUGGUUGUACACACCUGCACCUGGCUGCCCUAAAGUUGAUCGGAUGGAGAUUGGAGUGCGGGCUUACCCUACGGGGGCCCAAUCAGCACUGCCCCCCCUCACCCCCGAAGCAACCAAGCGCGAGUGAGACUUUCCUUUACUAGCUGAUUUCUGUGGAAGAAGUGGAAUCCUCGGGGACCUCAACUUUUUUGCAGUGGCUCUGAUGUAUCCAGGAGGGUCUCUCCGCUAUUUUGCAGGCAC